rnacentral:misc_RNA from 1 species
ACGAGUUAGGGUCUUCCAGGCCCGACCUCCCAACCCUAUGUUUAUUGAACCUCUGUUGCUUCGGCGGACCCGUCUCACGACCGCCGGAGGACCGCCGCGAGGCGUCCUCUGGCCCGCGUCCGCCGAGAGCCAACCACUUAAAACUCUGAAUGAAUCGUGUCAUUAUGUCUAAGUCUAUGAUUAAAUUAAAGCA